rnacentral:rRNA from 1 species
UUGAGCGGAGAUAUAUGGAGCUUGCUUUAUAUAACUUAGCAGCGAACGGGUGAGUAACACGUAGAUAAUCUAUCCUAUACUGGGGGAUAGCCCGAUGAAAGUUGGAUUAAUACCGCAUAUAGCUAUAUAGUUGCAUGAUUAUGUAGUGAAAGAUUUAUUGGUAUAGGAGGAGUCUGCGGCACAUUAGCUAGUAGGUGAGGUAAAGGCUUACCUAGGCGACGAUGUGUAGCCGGUCUGAGAGGAUGAACGGCCACAAUGGAACUGAGACACGGUCCAUACUCCUACGGGAGGCAGCAGUGGGGAAUAUUGCACAAUGGGGGAAACCCUGAUGCAGCAACGCCGCGUGAGUGAAGAAGGUUUUCGGAUUGUAAAGCUCUGUUAGCAGGGAAGAGGAAGGACGGUACCUGCAGAGGAAGCCACGGCUAACUACGUGCCAGCAGCCGCGGUAAUACGUAGGUGGCAAGCGUUGUUCGGAAUAACUGGGCGUAAAGGAUGCGUAGGCGGUUAAACAAGUUAUAUGUUAAAUAUAUAGGCUUAACCUGUAGAAAGCAUAUAAAACUGUUUAACUAGAGUGCAGGAGAGGUAAGUGGAAUUCCUAGUGUAGCGGUGAAAUGCGUAGAGAUUAGGAAGAACACCAGUGGCGAAGGCGACUUACUGGACUGUAACUGACGCUGAGGCAUGAGAGCAUGGGGAGCAAACAGGAUUAGAUACCCUGGUAGUCCAUGCUGUAAACG